rnacentral:rRNA from 1 species
AACGUAGGUGGCAAGCGUUAUCCGGAUUUACUGGGCGUAAAGGGUGUGCAGGCGGGGUUGCAAGUGGGGUAUGAAAUCUCCCGGCUUAACCGGGAGGGGUUAUGCCAGACUGCAAUUCUAGAGGACGAGAGAGGGGGGUGGAAUUCCGGGUGUAGUGGUGAAAUGCGUAGAGAUCCGGAGGAACCCCAGAGGCGAAGGCGGCCUGCUGGGCUGUUGCUGACGCUGAGGCGCGACAGCGUGGGGAGCAAACAGG